CCUACGGAGGCAGCAGUGGGGAAUAUUCACAAUGGGCGAAAGCCUAUGCAGCAACGCCGCUGAGUGAUGAAGGCCUUCGGGUCGUAAACUCUGUCCUCAAGGAAGAUAAUGACGGUACUUGAGGAGGAAGCCCCGGCUAACUACGUGCCAGCAGCCGCGGUAAUACGUAGGGGGCUAGCGUUAUCCGGAUUUACUGGGCGUAAAGGGUGCGUAGGUGGUUUCUUAAGUCAGGAGUGAAAGGCUACGGCUCAACCGUAGUAAGCUCUUGAAACUGGGGAACUUGAGUGCAGGAGAGGAAAGUGGAAUUCCUAGUGUAGCGGUGAAAUGCGUAGAUAUUAGGAGGAACACCAGUAGCGAAGGCGGCUUUCUGGACUGUAACUGACACUGAGGCACGAAAGCGUGGGGAGCAAACAGGAUUAGAUACCCUGGUAGUCCACGCCGUAAACGAUGAGUACUAGGUGUCGGGGGUUACCCCCCUCGGUGCCGCAGCUAACGCAUUAAGUACUCCGCCUGGGGAGUACGCUCGCAAGAGUG
rnacentral:rRNA from 1 species